rnacentral:rRNA from 1 species
AGAGUUUGAUCCUGGCUCAGGACGAACGCUGGCGGCGUGCCUAAUACAUGCAAGUCGAGCGAGCGGAACUAACAGAUUUACUUCGGUAAUGACGUUAGGAAAGCGAGCGGCGGAUGGGUGAGUAACACGUGGGGAACCUGCCCCAUAGUCUGGGAUACCACUUGGAAACAGGUGCUAAUACCGGAUAAGAAAGCAGAUCGCAUGAUCAGCUUUUAAAAGGCGGCGUAAGCUGUCGCUAUGGGAUGGCCCCGCGGUGCAUUAGCUAGUUGGUAAGGUAAAGGCUUACCAAGGCGAUGAUGCAUAGCCGAGUUGAGAGACUGAUCGGCCACAUUGGGACUGAGACACGGCCCAAACUCCUACGGGAGGCAGCAGUAGGGAAUCUUCCACAAUGGACGCAAGUCUGAUGGAGCAACGCCGCGUGAGUGAAGAAGGUUUUCGGAUCGUAAAGCUCUGUUGUUGGUGAAGAAGGAUAGAGGUAGUAACUGGCCUUUAUUUGACGGUAAUCAACCAGAAAGUCACGGCUAACUACGUGCCAGCAGCCGCGGUAAUACGUAGGUGGCAAGCGUUGUCCGGAUUUAUUGGGCGUAAAGCGAGCGCAGGCGGAAGAAUAAGUCUGAUGUGAAAGCCCUCGGCUUAACCGAGGAACUGCAUCGGAAACUGUUUUUCUUGAGUGCAGAAGAGGAGAGUGGAACUCCAUGUGUAGCGGUGGAAUGCGUAGAUAUAUGGAAGAACACCAGUGGCGAAGGCGGCUCUCUGGUCUGCAACUGACGCUGAGGCUCGAAAGCAUGGGUAGCGAACAGGAUUAGAUACCCUGGUAGUCC